AAUCAACGCUGGCGGCGUGCCUAACACAUGCAAGUCGCACGAGAAAGGGGAGCAAUCCCUGAGUAAAGUGGCGCACGGGUGAGUAACACGUGAAUCAUCUACCUCCGAGUGGGGAAUAACUGAGAGAAAUCUUAGCUAAUACCGCAUAACACUUACGAGUCAAAGCAGCAAUGCGCUUGGAGAGGAGUUCGCGGCCGAUUAGUUAGUUGGCGGGGUAAUGGCCCACCAAGACGAUGAUCGGUAUCCGGCCUGAGAGGGCGCACGGACACACUGGAACUGAAACACGGUCCAGACUCCUACGGGAGGCAGCAGUGGGGAAUUUUGCGCAAUGGGGGAAACCCUGACGCAGCAACGCCGCGUGGAGGAUGAAGUAUCUUGGUACGUAAACUCCUUUCGAUUGGGAAGAUAAUGACGGUACCAAUAGAAGAA
rnacentral:rRNA from 1 species